UGAGCAAUCUGCCCUUCACAUCGGAAUAACCAUUGGAAACGAUGGCUAAUACCGAAUAUGACUUCGGACCGCAUGAUCUGAAGUGGAAAGCUCCGGCGGUGAAGGAUGAGCUCGCGGCCUAUCAGCUUGUUGGUGAGGUAAUAGCUCACCAAGGCGAUGACGGGUAGCCGGCCCGAGAGGGUGACCGGCCACACUAGGACUGAGACACGGCCCAGAUCCGUACGGGG
rnacentral:rRNA from 1 species